rnacentral:lncRNA from 1 species
UCCAUCCUCUGACCCCAAAGAGCAAAUAAUAGGCAUGACAAACAUUCUGGCGGAGCUGAGACAUGGUAGAGGGACUAACUUCUCUUGACCAGACUCGGGUUGGGGGACCCAGAAAUCCUGCCACCUGAGAAUAAGUUCUCAGCCGGAAACCAGAAAAAGGCCUCAGCGGGACUAAAAGUGAUUCUAGGGACUAGAAUAUUUUCAGUUGGGGGGAGUGUCAGAGGAUGCUUCUGAAAGGGGUUGAUUGAGAACACCUGUGGGGAGGCGUGGCUACUGCAGUGAGAGGGCUUUUAUUUGUGACUAAAGGCCUUCACAAGAGUACAGAAAAAGGGAAGAAAAAGGGGGUGGAAGGGGACGGAGAGUCGGAGCGGAGGCGCUCAGACGCCGCAUGGCGGAGGACGAGAGGGCUGCCUCCCAGGGUGCGACGCACGGAGGACGAGAGGGCCGCCUGCCGGUGCUACGACGCACGGAGGACGAGAGGGCCGCCUCCCAGGGUGCGACGCACGGAGGACGAGAGGGCCGCCUGCCGGUGCUACGACGCCCGGAGGACGAGAGGGACCGCUGCCGACGCCCUGCUCAGAGGGAUCACCUGCCGACGCUGUAUAUUCGGAGCAGCUCCACCUGCUCGCUCCUGGUUCUCUUGGGCGCGGGAGGACUUCGGCGUCACCUCGUGAGAGCUAAGUUGACCCCACCAGCUGAUUAGUUUGUUUUGAACUGUAUCUUCUUUAAAGAGUUUGAUUUUGUUUUGCUUUGGGGUUCGUUACACUUAUUUUGCUUUGUUUUGCAUGCUUUAGUUGUUUAGAUGUUUUUCUUUGCUGGUGGGGUAGCAAGGUGGAGGGAGAGAACCUUGUGACCCAGAAGAGUGGAGUGGACUUCCUGAUUACGUCCAAAAAAAAAGAAAAAAUAACUCUUUUCUUCUUUCUUUUAGUUGGCGGUUUUAUGGACAGGAGCUUACGCCUAUUUUAUUGUUGUGGCUUUUUACAUGUUUUUAACACUUUUUAGCUUUUAUGGACAAUUAUAUUUUAUUAAACUAAGUCUUUGAAACGUGUCUCUGGCUUGCUGCAUUAUUGGGUGCCCAGACGUCUCCCCAGCGGAUCUCCAAAGUGACCCCCUCCCUUGCACCUACGUGACAAAGAUAUGAUUAGGAUUCUGUUUAAUGAGGUGCAUCA